CCUGAACAUUCCUGGGUCUGUCAAACUUCGUGAUUCAGAAAAAGAAAAUGCAACUCUGAACUGCUGAUGCCUUCAAUCUCGUGGCAAGUGAUGCACAAGCAAGCAUGAGCUACCGUGAUUUCUCCAAAAGAAGAAAUGGUUAAGAACUUAAAACAACGGUGGUCCGUGGAAUGGAGUCCGAUCCAGCAUUGAUCCACCGGGGCCGUUGAAAGUGACAACCUAAGACUCGGCACAUCUACCAACGAUCCACCCCCCUUCCAACGUCUAGAUUGUUGUUUGUAACCUUGUGC
rnacentral:lncRNA from 1 species